rnacentral:lncRNA from 1 species
GAGGAAGGGACUCAGAUAUGCAUCAGGCUCAUGACUAAAUGAGAGAUACUAACUUUUUAAAAAAUAGUUCAGGUGAAGAGAAUUAAUACAUGCACUGAACACUGUAGAAAUAAAAAAAAAGCAAUGGGUUACUAAAAAUAUUGGGAAAAUAAAAACAAAUUAACUCUACUUACUUAAGUUCAAGAGUUAAAAGAAGAAAACGUUGCGUGCAAUUCCCACAAUUCUAACAAAAACCAUGGAGGUCUAAAGUGCUUGUUGGAAAUAUGGAGCUUUAAUAAAAAUUGUUUUGUAUUAAGUUUGGGGUAAAUUUAGGUCAAGGGAGAAAGUUUAAAGGUCAGUUCUACAUGCCAGGUGAGAGUCUAUAGCAUGUAGUACUAAAGAAUGCUGUGCAGUGUCUAUCUGGAGGCUUAGAGGAAACCAUUUUGAAUCUCCAGUGACUCUAGAGUUGUUUUUAUCAUGGGGGAUAUUUUGCCAAAAUAAAAAAAAUAUACAAAGUAGAUUGAGAUUUCUUUUGGAAAUAAUGUCAAUGCAGAGAUAAUGUAAUUCACAAAUGACUCCUUAAUUCACAAAUGACUCCUUAAUUCAUUCUGGCAGUUUCUCAGGAGGAAAAGGUAUACAGACACUUUGGGACAGCUCAAUCUUUUCCAUGCAUGACAUUGAUGGAUAGUUCUGUGGGUGACACUGUUAGAGGAGACUCUUGGCAGUAGAGUUGUGCACUUUGCAGAUUCUUGAUUGGCCUUUCCCAGCUUGGCCUUUCCCAGCUUGGCCUGCACGAUCUUGGCUUAUUUUAUUGUGCCUGGGGUUUCAUCUUUUCUGGGUUCUUGCCUACAGCUUUGGCACUUGAGAGUCCUCAGUUGAGAAAGUCCUAUCUAAGUUCAACUUUCAUGAUGCAAGAGUCUCUCUUAUACCAGAGUAAAGUGAAGCUCAAGCGUCACAUGUCUUUGUCGCCAUCUUUGUCAUCUAGCUCCAAGCCUGGCCAAAUUUUACAAGUGUAAAGUUUCUCUAAUAGCUCAGCGGCUUGUUUGGCAGGAGUUUCGAAUAACUUAGAGACAAUCAAUAAGGGGAAAUGGGUCCUGAGGUAGCUAAUAGCUGACAGUGUCUCGUCCUGAUAUAUAAUGAUGCCAUUCAGUGUUUGAUAGGGAUGUAUGUGAGGUAGAGGAAACUAUGCUCCUAUUGCUAGCAUCAACAAAAUGAUGGUCACACUUUGUAAUUAAAAAGAUGAAACUCCACAAA